AAAAAAAGAAUGGACAAUACUGAUGAACCACACAUCCCGGUUGGGCCUGCUAAGUUUUUCCCGUCGUUGUUGGAGGGUCAGUACCGAAUCCAGGUCGAAAUCCAUGGACGCGAUUGAGUGGUGAGGAGCGGUUUUAAAAAAACCUUUAAAAAGCUUCGGGCCCUCAUCAAUCAAAUCUUUUCAUCUCCUCACCAGCCAAUCUACAUCUGGAAUCAAUGGUCAGAUUCAUCAUUUUAGCAUAAUCUUUUAUACGGUGGGUUAUUCAAAAUAAUAUUAGAGGAUGGACGGCUCUGAUUCCUCGAUGUUCUCUGCAUCGCAUGCUCAUAAUCUUUGGGCGUAGAAAUUGGUGCAAGUUCCUCUUAAGGCACUUGUAGAAUAAACAUGUUAUACACGUUAUCUUUUGCAUGAAAAGAUUAUCCACUAUACAUAUUCAGUACUA